GCAUCGAUAGCUCAGUGGCAGAGCGGUGGGGCGUUUACCCAUGCGGCCCGGGUUCGAUUCCCGGUCGAUGUA